rnacentral:lncRNA from 1 species
AGAGACGGGGUUUCACCAUGUUAGCCAGGAUGGUCUCGAUCUCCUGACUUCGAGAUCCACCCACCUCGGCCUCCCAAAGUGCUGGGAUUACAGGCAUGAGCCACCACACCCGGCGACUCAUUCUUAUACAACUACCUUUGUCAGCAUUCUUGCCAUUGGACUGUCUAGCCCUUGAUGCUGUUAUAUCAUGGCUUGUUGAUACAGAAGAUGCUACAUGAACUCAAGUGGAACUCUGACUGCCUUGAGAGCAUCCCACCAUCCAUUGCUGCUGCAUCAAGGUAUUAAAAAGAGAGACAGAAGGAAGAGAAUGUUUGUCAAAUGUCUUCUUUGGGCACCUCACAGGGCCAGGCACAAGGGGAAGGGGUAUUUGCAGCUGACUUCAAUCCAAAGCUGAAUGUGGAUGUUGGCACCUGCUGCUCCCUCUCUCCAGACAUCUCCCUGUAUCUUUGCUUAUUUGGUUUCAUAUUUAUUGACCAUCAACCACCCCCCAUCCCUGUAGAACGAGAAGCUCAUGAGAACAGGGGUCUUGUUCUCUAGCUUUUGUUUCUCCACCGAGAAGAGUGCCUGGAAACAGAGUCAAUGCUCAAUAAACAUUUAUGGAACAAA